AUGUUCGAGUAUCUAAAUGUUGUCAGCAAGAUGUUUGAUAGUGAGGCUGAAGGCUAUGAAUUCUACAACAAAUAUGCUCUUGAAAAAGGUUUUAGUGUCAGGAAAAGCUACGUUGAGUGGGAUGGAUCCAACAAAUACAUAAUUUUAAGG
rnacentral:rRNA from 1 species